AAGUCGGACGGCAGCGGGGGGGUAACUCCCUGCGAGAGUGGCGAACGGGUGAGUAAGACGUGGGUGAUCUGUCCCGGUCACGGGGAUAGCCUGUGGAAACAUGGGGUAAUACCGGAUAAGCUCUGCGGGGUAAAGGCCGCGGAGGAAAGGCGCGUAUGCGCCGGAGAGGGAUGAGGCUGCGGUCCAUUAGCUUGUUGGCAGGGUAAGAGCCUACCAAGGCGACGAUGGAUAGCCGGCCUGAGAGGGUGAACGGCCACACUGGGACUGAGAUACGGCCCAGACUCCUACGGGAGGCAGCAGCUAAGAAUCUUCCGCAAUGGGCGAAAGCCUGACGGAGCGACGCCGCGUGGACGAAGAAGGCCGAAAGGUUGUAAAGUUCUUUUCUUUGCGAAGAAUAAGGGGAGGAGGGAAUGCCUUUCUGAUGACGUUAGCGAAGGAAUAAGCCCCGGCUAAUUACGUGCCAGCAGCCGCGGUAAUACGUAAGGGGCGAGCGUUGUUCGGAAUUAUUGGGUGUAAAGGGCGCGCAGGCGGCUCUGAAAGUCCGGUGUGAAAGGCCGCAGCUUAACUGCGGUUGUGCGCUGGAAACUACAGGGCUUGAGUGCAGGAGGGGGAGCUGGAAUUCCAGGUGUAGGGGUGAAAUCUGUAGAUAUCUGGAAGAACACCGGUGGCGAAGGCGAGC
rnacentral:rRNA from 1 species